GUGUAAUUAACAAUUACUUUUAUUAUGAAAAUAUACUAUUUGAAACAUUUUUUUAUACGUCCAUUAAAAUUUAAAUGUAAAUAUUUGAUAGCCAAAUUUUUAUUUAAUCCAGAAUUCUGCUUGAAGCACUACCCUUGUGCAGAGACGCUUGAACCUGGAGGGAGUGUAUUCAGUUCAUCGACCGUCUUCGGAUAACUUCUUAAGAACUACAUGUACAAGUUUACCAGAUGUCGAACAACAACUUUUUCAUAAACACAAAUUUCAAAAUCAUAAACACGAAAAAAAUGGUUUUGGAGAAAGUCGUUGAACUUGAUUUAAUCUUUGCGAAAGGUUUCCGACAAUCAACAGCCAAAGCAAACAAACCAUCGAUGAAAAGCGUAAAAGCAAUACACGUUUGAAGUAUGGACGUACAUACAUACCAUAUGUAUGUUUAUAGGUAUAUCCGUAUGCAUCUUAUAUAAAAAAGUUCGUCUUGAUUUCGCAUUGUAUAGCGGUCGAAUUGCGUGAGAGUUCAGCGAACGUGGUUACGACACAAAUUACUCUGCCAAAGCGCACGUCAAAAUCAAACUUGAUAUCAGUUUUUAUGAUCAUUUCAGACCAAACAAAUUUAACAAAGAGUUCUGAACUAAUGAAAACAAAUUAAAAUCAACAAGAACAUAUGUAAAUAUGUAUGUAUAUAAUCGGUGGAUAAGAAUAUAACCUGAAAUAUUGUAUAUUGA